rnacentral:rRNA from 1 species
GACGAACGCUGGCGGCGUGCUUAACACAUGCAAGUCGAACGGAAAGGCCCUGCUUUUGUGGGGUGCUCGAGUGGCGAACGGGUGAGUAACACGUGAGUAACCUGCCCUUGACUUUGGGAUAACUUCAGGAAACUGGGGCUAAUACCGGAUAGGAGCUCCUACUGCAUGGUGGGGGUUGGAAAGUUUCGGCGGUUGGGGAUGGACUCGCGGCUUAUCAGCUUGUUGGUGGGGUAGUGGCUUACCAAGGCUUUGACGGGUAGCCGGCCUGAGAGGGUGACCGGCCACAUUGGGACUGAGAUACGGCCCAGACUCCUACGGGAGGCAGCAGUGGGGAAUAUUGCACAAUGGGCGGAAGCCUGAUGCAGCAACGCCGCGUGCGGGAUGACGGCCUUCGGGUUGUAAACCGCCUUCGCCUGUGACGAAGCGUGAGUGACGGUAAUGGGUAAAGAAGCACCGGCUAACUACGUG